rnacentral:lncRNA from 1 species
AUACAUUAUUCUCCAAAACAAAAGCCACGUGGCGGAGUUUUCUUCCUUCAGCGAAACCAUCUCUUUGCCUUUCCUUCACCUAUAACGUCUAAUUAAUAAUCCACUAACCUAUCCACUGACCUUAACCCAACCCUUCAUCUUUUCUAUACACAUAACGUCGACUUCUCUCCACCUAUAACAUCUAAUUAAUAGUUCGCUCACCUUAGUCCAACCCUUCACCUUUCCUACAAACAUAACGUCUAAUUAAUGAUUCACCUACUUUAAUCCUAAUCUAAACAGUAAAUUUUUUCUUCUUCUCUACUUUCUUUUCCUCCUCCAUGAGCUCCGAAGCUAAGAUCAAGCACAUUAUGUGGAUAGAGUAUAAGUUUGCACGCUGCAUCGCCGAGCUUAGCGUUGUCAUCUUCAUCAAAUCGAGCUUUCCUUCAAAUUUUAGGAGUUAUUUUAAAAGAUUUAUGUAUUCUUUAUGUUGUAUUGUUGAAAUUUCUUAGAUAGUUUUAUUCAGUUUUUUUAUAUUUUUUUUAUUUGCAUGGUAUUCAAACUAAUGUGUUUAUUAUGUUAAAGAUUUAUUGUUUUUUUCUUUUUCUAUCCUUUUUUUUUAUAUUUUUUUUUGCGAAAGUAAAGUUCUGUAUUAUAUUUAUUGUAUUUGGUUGUGUUAGGUUGUAUAUCUUUUUGUCUCUUAAAAAUUUAUUAUAUAAUUUUUCAUAUGCUUACUUUGUUUCUACUUUCAUGACUCUUUUUAUUAACUGAUAUAAGAUGUUUAUAAAAUUAGAUUGAUAUAUGAUCUAAAAAGGUCUUUAUUUUCUUGAAGGGAUAAGUAUCUUAGCUUAUAUAGAAAAUGAGGGAAUAAAAAUAUAACUUAUACAAAAAAAGUUUAACUCUUUGAUUGUUUUGAUUUAUAAAAUAUUAAUUUUUAUUAGAUUUUUUAUCUAAAUCUCUCCCAAAUAAUAUGUCAUUUUUCGUCUCAAUAGGUUAUCAUACUUAUUAUCUUUCUAUGAAUAUUUUGUUACUAAUCAACUUUAGCAAAUUAAUAAACU